CGAAGCAACGCGAAGAACCUUACCAGGUCUGACAUCUCCUGACAACCCGGAGAGAUCGGGCGUUCCCCUUCGGGGGACAGGGUGACAGGUGGUGCAUGGUUGUCGUCAGCUCGUGUCGUGAGAUGUGGGUUAAGUCCCGCAACGAGCGCAACCCUCGACCUUAGUUGCCAGCAUUCAGUUGGGCACUCUAAGGUGACUGCCGGCUAAAAGUCGGAGGAAGGUGGGGAUGACGUCAAAUCAUCAUGCCCCUUAUGACCUGGGCUACACACGUGCUACAAUGGGCGGUACAAAGGGUCGCGAACCCGCGAGGGGGAGCCAAUCCCAAAAAGCCGCUCUCAGUUCGGAUUGCAGGCUGCAACUCGCCUGCAUGAAGCCGGAAUCGCUAGUAAUCGCGGAUCAGCAUGCCGCGGUGAAUACGUUCCCGGGCCUU
rnacentral:rRNA from 1 species